GCGUCUGUAGCUCAGUGG
rnacentral:siRNA from 1 species